UACAGAGGUCUCAAGCGUUGUUCGGAAUCACUGGGCGUAAAGGGUGCGUAGGUGGCGUGGUAAGUCAGAUCGUGAAAGCCCAGGGCUCAACCCUGGAACUGCAUCCGAUACUGCCAUGCUAGAGAACUGAAGAGGAGUGUAGAAUUCUCGGAUGUAGCAGUGAAAUGCGUAGACUAUCGAGAGGAAUACCAACGGCGAAGGCAGCACUCUGGGCAGUUCUGACACUGAGGCACGAAGGCCUAGGGAGCAAACGGG
rnacentral:rRNA from 1 species